UCCGGUGACAAUGGAGAAGUGGUCACACCUGGUCCCAUCUCGAACCCAGAAGUUAAGCACUUCAUCGGCGAGCAUAGCCCUUCGGGUGAAUCAAGCACGUUGCCGGUU
rnacentral:rRNA from 1 species